rnacentral:tRNA from 1 species
AGUAUCACGCCGGGAUGAACGGAAAUCAUUGAUGUUGAUUAAUACGGGGAAUUAUUGCCUCUGAUACUA